GCACUGCUGACGAGUCCCAAACAGGACGAAACAGCUUGCAGUGC
rnacentral:hammerhead_ribozyme from 1 species